UUAAACUAAAGAGUUUGAUCCUGGCUCAGAUUGAACGCUGGCGGCAUGCCUUACACAUGCAAGUCGAACGGCAGCACGGAGCUUGCUCUGGUGGCGAGUGGCGAACGGGUGAGUAAUAUAUCGGAACGUACCCAGGAGUGGGGGAUAACGUAGCGAAAGUUACGCUAAUACCGCAUACGUCCUAAGGGAGAAAGUGGGGGAUCGCAAGACCUCAUGCUCAUGGAGCGGCCGAUAUCUGAUUAGCUAGUUGGUAGGGUAAAAGCCUACCAAGGCAACGAUCAGUAGCUGGUCUGAGAGGACGACCAGCCACACUGG
rnacentral:rRNA from 1 species